rnacentral:lncRNA from 1 species
UCAGCGACUCAGCACACGCACGCGGACCGGGCCGGUCUUGCUCGGCCGCGGGCGGCUCGGGACUGGGCCGGCUCGGGCGAUGCUGGGCCGGUUCGGCCCAAAAUGGCCGGGCCGGUCCAGUUUUCUUCUUUUUUUUCUUUUAGCCUUUUCUUUUUCCCUUUUUCUUAUUUCUUUGAUAUCUUUUGAUUUUGAACUCCAAAUUGGCCCAAAUAAAUUCCAGAAAAUUUGUAAAAUCAUGUUUUAUCAUGAUUCAACUUUUGGGAGUAAUUUCUCUUCAAAUUAAAAUAUAUAAAAAUACAUUUGCCUUAUAAAUGCCUUUAGGCCUAUAUAACUAUUUAAAUAAAAUAGUUUUCAACUCCAAAUAAUUAUCCAAAAAUUAUGGGAUAGCUUAUUUAUGCAAUAAACCCCUUUUUAUAAAUAAACCCUAUUGGUUUGAAGAUCCAAAGCUUAAAUGGGUGAAAACCCUAGGGUUUAAAUUGAAAUAAAAAUCUUUUAAAGCCUUUUUGAGAUUCAAAUUUGAAUUCAAAUGUGCAAUUAUGGCAUGAUGCUCAUGGAUGCAAUGCAUAUGAAAAGAUUUGAAAUUUUGGGAUGUUAGACUGAGGAAAUCUCAGAUAUGGCAAAGCGGCUGGCCGAAGGCCCAUCCCAGCUAGAUGAAUGGCGGGAGUUUGCUGCACGCUCGGAGCCGACGAGGCUUUGUCGUUCGUACUUUCUUGGUAUGACGG